rnacentral:rRNA from 1 species
GACGAACGCUGGCGGCGUGCUUAACACAUGCAAGUCGAACGGAAAGGCCCUGCUUUUGUGGGGUGCUCGAGUGGCGAACGGGUGAGUAACACGUGAGUAACCUGCCCUUGACUUUGGGAUAACUUCAGGAAACUGGGGCUAAUACCGGAUAGGAGCUCCUGCUGCAUGGUGGGGGUUGGAAAGUUUCGGCGGUUGGGGAUGGACUCGCGGCUUAUCAGCUUGUUGGUGGGGUAGUGGCUUACCAAGGCUUUGACGGGUAGCCGGCCUGGAAGGGUGACCGGCCCCAGGGGGGUACGGGAGGGGCCAGGCGGCAAACGGGGGCAAGAGGGGGGGAAUUGUCAGAAAGGGGCGGAGGGCGGAUGGAGGAACGCCGGGUGGGGAAAGACGGCUUUGGGGUUGUAACAAGUUUGUGCGUGUGCAGAAGCGUGAUGGAGGGAAAUGGUGAAAAAAGCACGGGUAAAUAAGUG